rnacentral:rRNA from 1 species
GAACUUGGCAGAGAUGCCUUGGUGCCUUCGGGAACGCUGAGACAGGUGCUGCAUGGCUGUCGUCAGCUCGUGUUGUGAAAUGUUGGGUUAAGUCCCGCAACGAGCGCAACCCUUAUCCUUUGUUGCCAGCGAUUCGGUCGGGAACUCAAAGGAGACUGCCGGUGAUAAACCGGAGGAAGGUGGGGAUGACGUCAAGUCAUCAUGGCCCUUACGAGUAGGGCUACACACGUGCUACAAUGGCGCAUACAAAGAGAAGCGACCUCGCGAGAGCAAGCGGACCUCAUAAAGUGCGUCGUAGUCCGGAUCGGAGUCUGCAACUCGACUCCGUGAAGUCGGAAUCGCUAGUAAUCGUGGAUCAGAAUGCCACGGUGAAUACGUUCCCGGGCCUUGUACACACCGCCCGUCACACCAUGGGAGUGGGUUGCAAAAGAAGUAGGUAGCUUAACCUUCGGGAGGGCGCUUACCACUUUGUGAUUCAUGACUGGGGUGAAGUCGUAACAAGGUAAGCGUAGCGAG